rnacentral:rRNA from 1 species
ACGAAGGGUGCAAGCGUUACUCGGAAUUACUGGGCGUAAAGCGUGCGUAGGUGGUUCGUUAAGUCUGAUGUGAAAUCCCCGGGCUUAACCUGGGAAUGGCAUUUGGGACUGCAAGGCUGGAGUGCGGCAGAGGAGACUGGAAUUCCUGGUGUAGCAGUGAUAUGCGUAGAUAUCAGGAGGAAUACCGAUGGCGAAGGCAGGUCUCUGGGCUGACACUGACGCUCAUGCACGAAAGCGUGGGGAGCAAACAGGA